UGAGUUUGAUCAUGGCUCAGAUUGAACGCUGGCGGCAGGCCUAACACAUGCAAGUCGAGCGGAUGAGAAGAGCUUGCUCUUCGAUUCAGCGGCGGACGGGUGAGUAAUGCCUAGGAAUCUGCCUGGUAGUGGGGGACAACGUUUCGAAAGGAACGCUAAUACCGCAUACGUCCUACGGGAGAAAGCAGGGGACCUUCGGGCCUUGCGCUAUCAGAUGAGCCUAGGUCGGAUUAGCUAGUUGGUGAGGUAAUGGCUCACCAAGGCGACGAUCCGUAACUGGUCUGAGAGGAUGAUCAGUCACACUGGAACUGAGACACGGUCCAGACUCCUACGGGAGGCAGCAGUGGGGAAUAUUGGACAAUGGGCGAAAGCCUGAUCCAGCCAUGCCGCGUGUGUGAAGAAGGUCUUCGGAUUGUAAAGCACUUUAAGUUGGGAGGAAGGGCAGUAAGAUAAUACCUUGCUGUUUUGACGUUACCGACAGAAUAAGCACCGGCUAACUCUGUGCCAGCAGCCGCGGUAAUACAGAGGGUGCAAGCGUUAAUCGGAAUUACUGGGCGUAAAGCGCGCGUAGGUGGUUUGUUAAGUUGGAUGUGAAAGCCCCGGGCUCAACCUGGGAACUGCAUCCAAAACUGGCAAGCUAGAGUACGGUAGAGGGUGGUGGAAUUUCCUGUGUAGCGGUGAAAUGCGUAGAUAUAGGAAGGAACACCAGUGGCGAAGGCGACCACCUGGACUGAUACUGACACUGAGGUGNNNAAGCGUGGGGAGCAAACAGGAUUAGAUACCCUGGUAGUCCACGCCGUAAACGAUGUCAACUAGCCGUUGGAAUCCUUGAGAUUUUAGUGGCGCAGCUAACGCAUUAAGUUGACCGCCUGGGGAGUACGGCCGCAAGGUUAAAACUCAAAUGAAUUGACGGGGGCCCGCACAAGCGGUGGAGCAUGUGGUUUAAUUCGAAACAACGCGAAGAACCUUACCAGGCCUUGACAUGCAGAGAACUUUCUAGAGAUAGAUUGGUGCCUUCGGGAACUCUGACACAGGUGCUGCAUGGCUGUCGUCAGCUCGUGUCGUGAGAUGUUGGGUUAAGUCCCGUAACGAGCGCAACCCUUGUCCUUAGUUACCAGCACGUUAUGGUGGGCACUCUAAGGAGACUGCCGGUGACAAACCGGAGGAAGGUGGGGAUGACGUCAAGUCAUCAUGGCCCUUACGGCCUGGGCUACACACGUGCUACAAUGGUCGGUACAGAGGGUUGCCAAGCCGCGAGGUGGAGCUAAUCUCACAAAACCGAUCGUAGUCCGGAUCGCAGUCUGCAACUCGACUGCGUGAAGUCGGAAUCGCUAGUAAUCGCGAAUCAGAAUGUCGCGGUGAAUACGUUCCCGGGCCUUGUACACACCGCCCGUCACACCAUGGGAGUGGGUUGCACCAGAAGUAGCUAGUCUAACCUUCGGGAGGACGGUUACCACGGUGUGAUUCAUGACUGGGGUGAAGUCGUAACAAGGUAACCA
rnacentral:rRNA from 1 species